rnacentral:rRNA from 1 species
GAUAGCUGGUUCUCCCCGAAAGCUAUUUAGGUAGCGCCUCGUGAAUUCAUCUCCGGGGGUAGAGCACUGUUUCGGCUAGGGGGCCAUCCCGGCUUACCAACCCGAUGCAAACUGCGAAUACCGGAGAAUGUUAUCACGGGAGACACACGGCGGGUGCUAACGUCCGUCGUGAAGAGGGAAACAACCCAGACCGCCAGCUAAGGUCCCAAAGUCAUGGUUAAGUGGGAAACGAUGUGGGAAGGCCCAGACAGCCAGGAUGUUGGCUUAGAAGCAGCCAUCAUUUAAAGAAAGCGUAAUAGCUCACUGGUCGAGUCGGCCUGCGCGGAAGAUGUAACGGGGCUAAACCAUGCACCGAAGCUGCGGCAGCGACGCUGAUGCGUUGUUGGGUAGGGGAGCGUUCUGUAAGCCUGCGAAGGUGGCCUGUGAGGGUUGCUGGAGGUAUCAGAAGUGCGAAUGCUGACAUAAGUAACGAUAAAGCGGGUGAAAAGCCCGCUCGCCGGAAGACCAAGGGUUCCUGUCCAACGUUAAUCGGGGCAGGGUGAGUCGACCCCUAAGGCGAGGCCGAAAGGCGUAGUCGAUGGGAAACGGGUUAAUAUUCCCGUACUUGGUGUUACUGCGAAGGGGGGACGGAGAAGGCUAUGUUGGCCGGGCGACGGUUGUCCCGGUUUAAGCGUGUAGGUGUGUGUUCCAGGUAAAUCCGGUUCACUUUAACACUGAGGCGUGAUGACGAGGCACUACGGUGCUGAAGCAACAAAUGCCCUGCUUCCAGGAAAAGCCUCUAAGCAUCAGGUAACAUCAAAUCGUACCCCAAACCGACACAGGUGGUCAGGUAGAGAAUACCAAGGCGCUUGAGAGAACUCGGGUGAAGGAACUAGGCAAAAUGGUGCCGUAACUUCGGGAGAAGGCACGCUGACACGUAGGUGAAGUGAUUUACUCAUGGAGCUGAAGUCAGUCGAAGAUACCAGCUGGCUGCAACUGUUUAUUAAAAACACAGCACUGUGCAAACACGAAAGUGGACGUAUACGGUGUGACGCCUGCCCGGUGCCGGAAGGUUAAUUGAUGGGGUCAGCGCAAGCGAAGCUCCUGAUCGAAGCCCCGGUAAACGGCGGCCGUAACUAUAACGGUCCUAAGGUAGCGAAAUUCCUUGUCGGGUAAGUUCCGACCUGCACGAAUGGCGUAAUGAUGGCCAGGCUGUCUCCACCCGAGACUCAGUGAAAUUGAACUCGCUGUGAAGAUGCAGUGUACCCGCGGCAAGACGGAAAGACCCCGUGAACCUUUACUAUAGCUUGACACUGAACAUUGAGCCUUGAUGUGUAGGAUAGGUGGGAGGCUUUGAAGUGUGG